rnacentral:misc_RNA from 1 species
UCCGAGUUGACCCCGGCAGUCUCCUACGAGUCCCCGCCAUUACGCGCUGGCAACAUAGGACAAGGGUUGCGCUCGUUGCGGGACUUAACCCAACAUCUCACGACACGAGCUGACGACAGCCAUGCAGCACCUGUACACCGGCCCCGAAGGGCUGCCGUAUUUCUACGGCAUUCCGGUGCAUGUCAAGCCUUGGUAAGGUUCUUCGCGUCGCGUCGAAUUAAACCACAUGCUCCGCUGCUUGUGCGGGUCCCCGUCAAUUCCUUUGAGUUUUAGCCUUGCGGCCGUACUCCCCAGGCGGGGUGCUUAAUGCGUUAGCUGCGGCACGGACGGAGUCGACACCGCCCACACCUAGCACCCAACGUUUACGGCUAGGACUAC